rnacentral:misc_RNA from 1 species
UCAGGUGAAUCGGCCGCAAAUGGUAGCCAGCUAAUAAGUGUUUAUUAUUCGACCGGUGUUCGUGCACGUGGUCGAGAGUGUACGUAAAUACGGAAGAACGAGCCGCGGCCACAAAGAGGAGAGAGAAAGUUACUGUUACGCUCGCCGUCCACGUUCAGCCGUCCGACGAUGACCGAGCAAAUUCGUCCUGAAGGUUCUACCCUCGAGCGGACGCCAGGUCGCACCGUGAAGCACGGAACAGCCGCACCGGUGACGCUCCGUUGCCCGUUUCACCGAGUCGCGACCAGUGAAGAAAUUAGAAACAAAAGGAUCACCUUCAAAAAGAUCGAACACGAGACUCACCAGCAAGGUCUUUGCUGACAAAAGAGACGAGAUUUCUGAGACAACAGAGUCUCAUUGGUCUAUUUGAAAGCACGUUCGCGCAACUCAGUCGGGUUCAGCAGAGGCGAAGCCAUACCUGUGGAUCGGUGCCUCGAAAGUUAAGGGUCCCGGUGCAGUUGAUUAACGAUGUGAGCGUCCAGGUCGAGGUGGGUGGCGCAUGCCUUUGUGACAGCACGACCGCUCCUCCGCUCCUCGACAUCGCCACCGUUGCUAUCAUGGAUUAUUAUAACUCAUACUUGAGAAAAAUGAUCAAAAGUGAGGAAAUGUAUUGGGAAAACAUUGAUACAAUUUGUAAAAAGGGUUCACAGUGUACAUUUUGAUGUGAG